ACUUCCAAAAGUUUGUUGAAAGUGGCGUGGUGCAGCUUGGCGUGAAUUCACAGCUGUUUAACAUCUCAACGCUUUCAGGGAACUCGGCUUCUAAUUGGUUCCAAAGCCAAUUUAAGUUGUCUUACCAUGCAACGGGAACUCAAAAUGCUGAUUGGACCAAGACGCGUCGCUUACAACGUCUAUAAAUCAUGAUAGCGAUUGUUUUUGGAGGGAUUCUGUACAGAGCGGUUUAGUGACUGUUAAAAAUUUAAACACGUUCACGUUCUCAAGUGGAAACUCGCAAUUAUUUGAGGAGAGAAGAAGGGAGAAAAAGAGCGUUUGGAACUUAGAAGUGUACCUUAAAAGGCACCAGGAAACAUUCACACAAAGGGAACGAUUUUCAUUGAAGUAUUUAUAGGAAUGGAGCAUGUUUACCUGCAGUGUUUCUGUGCUAAAAAUUUGCAGGAGUUAGUAUAAAUCAUUCCUUUUUCUUCUUUAACUUCUCUUUCCUCAAAUUGGGUUUUAUUUAUCCCUCGAGAUGUGUGUUUUAAGUGCUAUGCUUCGAUGUGGGUGUGUAGGCUAAUUCCAGGGACGAGGGCAGAUUUAGCAAUAAACUACAACGCACUGGAACUAAGAAAUGUUCCUGUAGCUUUUUUUCCCUGAUGUUUCUUUCCAGUAACAAAAUGUUAGUGUGAAAUCAUUGUACUGUAUUUAGUACAAAACAAAUAGGGAUUUCAUCUAUGCAUUUAGUAAUACCUGAAUAUAAAAAUAAAGCAGCCAAAUAAAAUUCAGAUGACCUUGGGAAUACUACACAAGUAAAUCACGAGAGAUGAGCGAACGAAGCACUGGGCAAAUUGUUCGAAACAAAGGGAAAGUUUCUCAGCUCACAAGAUGAAAGCUUUGAUUUUCUCAUAAAAGAAAACUAAUAAGAAAUAGUUAUUUUCCUGAAAUACAACGU
rnacentral:lncRNA from 1 species